CAUCUGGUGUCAGCGGCUCCUCCCCUGGCUGGCGGUGAUAAAGGCAGGGCCUGGUCCCUGCUCGCUGUCUGCUGGAGCUGCAGCAAUGUGGGCGGCCCUUCUCCUCCUGCUGUGGCUGAGCCCUGUGGUCUCCCAGUUGAACAUAGGCAGUUGCUCCCAACCGAACCCCCUCUGCUGCCAGGGAUUCAAUCACAGCUGCAUCAGGGGAACCUGCUUCUGCGAUGACUACUGCAUCAAUAUCUCAGAGUGCUGUGUGGACUACAGAGCUGUCUGCCGCCCCAGUGACUCCCUGCCUCUCGGGGACAAGAUGGUGCUACGUAUGGUGCUGAGGAUACAGAGCCCUCCCUGCCCUGACAGCAGCAAUCCAGACUUGGUGCAGAGCAUGGCCCAGAAGCUUCUCCAAAGCACUCUGCUGAAGAGGCAGCUCUCCAUGUCUGUGAAGGGAGUCGGGAAGAAAGCCUGAGUCCUCCCUCGGCACGGCUCGCCUGUCCCCACCAUGGCCCAUGGGGCCCAUGCUGCUGGGCCUUUGAUGUCUGCUUUCAUCCUCCGUUUGGUGACUUCUCAGAUCCCCUAACCACAGGAUAGCCGGGACCUGCCUUCGCCCAAACAUACCAAGAUGUGCCCGGGCACAGCAUACAGAUCAUGGAACAUGUAUUUGGCUCAUGGUGGUGUUUUGUUGUUGUCAUUGUUUGAGACAGGGCCUCACUGUGCAGCCCAGGCUGGCCUCAAACUUGCAGCGAUCCUCCUGCCUCGGCCACCAGGGUACUGGGUCACAGGGAGCACCACCAUGCCCGGCCUGGCUCCCGCUGUGAUUCCUCAGGCUGUGGUGGCUACAGGGACAUAGCAAACGUUUCUUUCUUUCUUUCUUUUUUGGUACUGGGGAUCGAACUCAGGACCUCGUGCUUGUGAGCCAGGCAUGGCACCACUGAGCUAAAUCCCCGGCCCGCAAACAUUUUUUGAAGGUGAAAAAUGAGACCCCAGCCAUGUGUCCUCUCCCCUCGUGUGUCCCCUGGGCCCCAGGUGGUGGCUUGCAAGUCUGGAGAGGCCUGGUCUACAGAUUCCUGUCUCUUCUUGGGGUGGAAACAGUGGCGGGACUUCCGGGUGUCCCCUUGCAAGCAGGGUGGCAAACUCGAGCAGGCGAUGCCAGCAUGUGCGUGUCCCUCUGGGCCCAGACUCCUCCUCUGGUUCCUCUGCCCGUGCCUUCUUCCCCGUGGUCCUCUGUUAUGUUCCCAUGUGGAAGUCCUGGGCACAGCUCCACCCUGCUGCUCUGGCCCCUGACUCUUCUCUAAACUGGUCUCGGUCCAGGUCAGAGUCCCCAACCCUGAGCCCGGUCCUGCCAGUUCCCUGCUCCAAAGCCUCCUCUUUGUCACUUAGCCCUGGGACACAGGCCAGCUGACUGCUUGGGGCAGCCGAGUGGCCCAACCCACCAUGAUCCCGCCGAGCCCCCUGGGCUGCUGCUGAUCUACCCACCGCUCUCCAGGUGGAGGUGAUGGCUCAGGAGCCCUUGGGCACAGAGCCCAGCUCUUGACUAAUGGGUUUGUCUUGGCUUAGUCUCUGGGAAUGAUUUGUUUGGCGACAUAAUCCCCAGGAGCAGGGGUUAGGGAAAGGGGAGGAGAAGCAGGGACAGGGGAGAGCCAGC
rnacentral:lncRNA from 1 species